rnacentral:rRNA from 1 species
CGCCCUUAGAGUUUGAUCAUGGCUCAGGACGAACGCUGGCGGCGUGCCUAAUACAUGCAAGUCGAACGCAGCUUGCUUUGGUAAGAUGAGUGGCGAACGGGUGAGUAACACGUGGGUAACCUGCCUAUCAGAGGGGGAUAACACUUGGAAACAGGUGCUAAUACCGCAUAGAUUUCUUCCGCAUGAAAAGAGAGGAAAGACGUACGUGUCACUGAUAGAUGGACCCGCGGUGCAUUAGCUAGUUGGUGAGGUAACGGCUCACCAAGGCCAUGAUGCAUAGCCGACCUGAGAGGGUGAUCGGCCACACUGGGACUGAGACACGGCCCAGACUCCUACGGGAGGCAGCAGUAGGGAAUCUUCGGCAAUGGACGAAAGUCUGACCGAGCAACGCCGCGUGAGUGAAGAAGGUUUUCGGAUCGUAAAACUCUGUUGUUAGAGAAGAAUAGGUAGGAGUGACUUCCUGCCAUGACGGUAUCUAACCAGAAAGCCACGGCUAACUACGUGCCAGCAGCCGCGGUAAUACGUAGGUGGCAAGCGUUGUCCGGAUUUAUUGGGCGUAAAGCGAGCGCAGGCGGUUUCUUAAGUCUGAUGUGAAAGCCCCCGGCUUAACCGGGGAGGGUCAUUGGAAACUGGGAGACUUGAGUGCAGAAGAGGAG